UCUGCUGAAGUACUGUCAGA
rnacentral:miRNA from 1 species